rnacentral:tRNA from 1 species
CGGGGUGUAGCGAAGCUUGGUAUCGCGCAUGGUUCGGGACCAUGAGGUCGAAGGUUCAAAUCCUUUCACUCCGA